rnacentral:rRNA from 1 species
AACGAACGCUGGCGGCGUGCUUAACACAUGCAAGUCGAACGGGAACUUCCGGUUUAGGGGCGUACGGGUGCGUAAGGCGUGGGAACCUGCCCUUAGGUUCCGAAUAACUCCCCGAAAGGGGUGCUAAUCACGGAUAAUGUCUUCGGAGCAAAGAUUUAUUGCUUUUGGAUGGGGGCUCGUUGGAUUAGCUAGUUGGUAAGGUACAAGCCUGCCAAGGCGAGGUUGCAUAGCUGGUCGGAGAGGAUGAUCAGGCACACUGGGACUGCGACACGGCCCACACUCCUACGGGAGGCAGCAGAGGUUAAUAUUGGACAAUGAGCCAAAGCCUGAUCCAGCAAUGCCGCGUGAGAGAUGAAGGCGUUAGAGUUGUAAAUCUCUUUUACCCGAGAUGAUAAUGACGGUACCGGGAGAAUAAGCACCGGCUAACUCCGUG